rnacentral:rRNA from 1 species
UACGAAGGGGGCUAGCGUUGCUCGGAAUUACUGGGCGUAAAGGGAGCGUAGGCGGAUAGUUUAGUCAGAGGUGAAAGCCCAGGGCUCAACCUUGGAAUUGCCUUUGAUACUGGCUAUCUUGAGUAUGGAAGAGGUAUGUGGAACUCCGAGUGUAGAGGUGAAAUUCGUAGAUAUUCGGAAGAACACCAGUGGCGAAGGCGACAUACUGGCUCAUUACUGACGCUGAGGCUCGAAAGCGUGGGGAGCAAACAGG